CAGACAAGGUACGUUUAUCCUAUUAUAACUGACACUUAGGAAUGUGUUGACCAAGACUGUGAUCGUGUGAUGACACCUCAAAUGUUGUUCAAUGGCAGUUGAAAAAUAGAAGAACAGUAUACCAAGAUACACCGUAACUGUCAUAUGUUGUAUGGAGUAAAUGUCAGCCUGAUGGUGAAAUGCUUGGACUAUAUCCAUCAAGAGGCUACCAGGUUUCUGGUUCAAAGUUAAACUCACUAAUGAGAGAGUAUAUAUAUGAAAGGAUUUUUGUUGUUGUAUGGAUUUGUAGUAUACAGUACACAUACAUUUUUAAAACAUGACAAAUGGUGUUGAUUACUUAUUCUGGAAACCAUGUUUGACUUACUAGUCUAACCAUUUGUAAUGUGAACAUUGAAUAACCUAGUUGGCACGUUUGACAAUUUUUCAAUCGCAUGUUCUGCGCUGUCGUCUGGAAAACCACUGAUGUGUCAUCAACCGUCUGUGACUGAGGUGUGAACCACUUCAGUUGAAAGGAGUUCCUCCUGAUGCAGGUGUGGAAUCAUAGCCCUGACUGUACCCCAGCCCAGCCCUCCAGCCCUACUACUGUACUUCCCAGGCUCUCUCUUCAAACAGGCCUGGGGGUCAGAUAACUGGUUGUAGUGUAUACAGGUGCACCUAUGACUUACUUGAAUAACUCAAGUUCUGACUCAUCUCUAAACUCUCAGUGUCAUUUGGCUGUGGCAGGUGUGUCCCACUGCCUUGCCGUGUGAUUCAGGAAGAUAUCAUCGCUUGAGAUUAACAAGCCGUGAACCGCUUAAAUCCGGCUUGUCUCUUUCUCCGAAGCCGAGGGCGGCCCACUGGUGACUUUGAUGGACUGGAAUGCCGUUCACCCACACACAUAUGCCCACACAGGUCCCAUACACACAGACACACAGACAGACACACGUUCACAGUGUCACACUCCCACAAACAUACUCACACUCACUGUCAUACACAUCUGAUAUCAAAUGUGAAAUGUUUACAACCCACCCACACCACUCCCAUGCUCGCUUGUCAAUAAACU